rnacentral:rRNA from 1 species
UACGAAGGGGGCGAGCGUUGUUCGGAAUUACUGGGCGUAAAGGGCGCGUAGGCGGCGAACCAAGUCAGAUGUGAAAGUCCUGGGCUUAACCUGGGGACUGCAUUUGAUACUGGUUUGCUUGAAUUCGGGAGAGGAUAGCGGAAUUCCCAGUGUAGAGGUGAAAUUCGUAGAUAUUGGGAAGAACACCGGUGGCGAAGGCGGCUCUCUGGGACGGUACUGACGCUGAGACGCGAAAGCGUGGGGAGCGAACAGG